UACGAAGGGGGCUAGCGUUGUUCGGAUUUACUGGGCGUAAAGCGCACGUAGGCGGAUCGAUCAGUCAGGGGUGAAAUCCCAGAGCUCAACUCUGGAACUGCCUUUGAUACUGUCGAUCUGGAGUAUGGAAGAGGUGAGUGGAAUUCCGAGUGUAGAGGUGAAAUUCGUAGAUAUUCGGAGGAACACCAGUGGCGAAGGCGGCUCACUGGACUGGUAUUGACGCUGAGGUGCGAAAGCAUGGGGAGCAAACAGG
rnacentral:rRNA from 1 species